AUUGAACGCUGGCGGCAGGCCUAACACAUGCAAGUCGAGCGGAUGAAGGGAGCUUGCUCCUGGAUUCAGCGGCGGACGGGUGAGUAAUGCCUAGGAAUCUGCCUGGUAGUGGGGGAUAACGUCCGGAAACGGGCGCUAAUACCGCAUACGUCCUGAGGUAGAAAGUGGGGGAUCUUCGGACCUCACGCCAUCAGAUGAGCCUAGGUCGGAUUAGCUAGUUGGUGGGGUAAAGGCCUACCAAGGCGACGAUCCGUAACUGGUCUGAGAGGAUGAUCAGUCACACUGGAACUGAGACACGGUCCAGACUCCUACGGGAGGCAGCAGUGGGGAAUAUUGGACAAUGGGCGAAAGCCUGAUCCAGCCAUGCCGCGUGUGUGAAGAAGGUCUUCGGAUUGUAAAGCACUUUAAGUUGGGAGGAAGGGCAGUAAGUUAAUACCUUGCUGUUUUGACGUUACCAACAGAAUAAGCACCGGCUAACUUCGUG
rnacentral:rRNA from 1 species